UUUGAUCCUGGCUCAGGAUUAACGCUAGCGACGUGCCUAAGGUAUGCAAGUCGAACGGUUGGUUUAGUGUAGUAAUACUCUGAGCCAAUAGUGGCAGACGGCUGAGUAACACGUGGGAAUUUCCCCCUAAGACGAGGAUAGCUCACCGAAAGGUGGGGUAAUACUCGAUAGUUCCCGAUUUAUCGGGAUAAAGCUUUUGCGCUUAGGGAUAAGCUCGCGGCCUAUCAGGUAGUUGGCGGGGUAAAUGCCCACCAAGCCUAUGACGGGUAGCUGGCCUCAGAGGGUGGUCAGCCAGACUGGAACUGAGAUACGGUCCAGACUCCUACGGGAGGCAGCAACUAGGAAUUAUGCGCAAUGGACGAAAGUCUGACGCUGCGACNUCGCGUGGAGGAUGAAGGUCUUAGGAUUGUAAACUCCUUUUAUCAGGGAACAAGUUCUGAGUGUACCUGAUGAAUAAGUGCCUGCUAACCACGUGCCAGAAGCAUCGGUAAUGCGUGGGGCACAAGCGUUAUCCGGUUUUACUGGGCGUAAAGAGAUGCGUAGGCGUCCCGAAAAGUUUUAUGUUAAAGCCUCUUGCUUAGCAUGAGAAUCGCAUAGGAAACUCUUGGGAUUGAGUCGGGUAGAGAAGAGGGGAAUUCCUGGUGUAGCGGUUAAAUGCGUUGAUAUCAGGAGGAAUACCAAUGGCGAAAGCACCUCUUUGGACCUUUGACUGACGCUAAGGCUCGAAAGCGUGGGGAGCAAANCGGAUUAGAUACCCGUGUAGUCCACGCCCUAAACAAUCCCUGCUAGAUGUUUGAUCUUACUUGCUGAUUUUCUCUCUUUUGA
rnacentral:rRNA from 1 species